rfam:Octopus bimaculoides Scaffold162696_contig_32, whole genome shotgun sequence.
CUCGCGAUAGCUCAGUUGGUAGAGCGGAGGACUGUAGUCUGACUUUAAAUGCCUGUUAUCCUUAGGUCGGUGGUUCGAAUCCGUCUCGCGAGA